UACAGAGGGUGCAAGCGUUGUUCGGAAUUAUUGGGCGUAAAGCGCGUGUAGGCGGCUUUGCAAGUCGGGUGUGAAAGCCCUCAGCUCAACUGAGGAAGUGCGCCCGAAACUGCAGAGCUUGAGUACCGGAGAGGAUGGCGGAAUUCCCGAAGUAGAGGUGAAAUUCGUAGAUAUCGGGAGGAACACCGGUGGCGAAGGCGGCCAUCUGGACGGAUACUGACGCUGAGACGCGAAAGCGUGGGGAGGCAAACAGG
rnacentral:rRNA from 1 species